rnacentral:lncRNA from 1 species
GAUGGUGAAGGAGGCAGAGGAGUUUGCAGAGGAAGACAAGAAGGUGAAGGAGAGAAUCGACGCGAGGAACAGCCUGGAGACAUACGUGUACAACAUGAAGAACCAAGUGAACGACAAGGACAAGCUUGCAGACAAACUGGAAGCAGACGAGAAGGAGAAGAUUGAAGCAGCGACGAAAGAGGCGUUGGAGUGGCUUGACGAGAACCAAAACUCGGAGAAAGAAGAGUAUGACGAGAAGUUGAAGGAAGUAGAGGCAGUGUGUAACCCAAUCAUCACUGCUGUUUAC